rnacentral:rRNA from 1 species
GUAUUUAUCGCUAGAAGAUGAGCUCGCGUCUGUAAUUAGAUAGUUGGUGAGGUACGGCCCACCAAGUCGACGAUCAGUAGCCGGACUGAGAGGUUGGACGGCCACAUUGGGACUGAGACACGGCCCAGACUCCUACGGGAGGCAGCAGUGGGGAAUAUUGCACAAUGGAGGAAACUCUGAUGCAGCGAUGCCGCGUGAGGGAAGAAGGUUUUAGGAUUGUAAACCUCUGUCUUUGGGGACGAUAAUGACGGUACCCAAGGAGGAAGCUCCGGCUAACUACGUG